AGACAAAACAAGUUACCAGCAUGAGAAGAUCUAUCGUGGGGAUAGUCCUUUCUCCUUAAGUCAAAGAGCUCUCCAUGGACAUAUUCUGCAUGAACUUAUGACCUUGAAAGACUAUCUUUACCUCUCUACGAGCCUCUUCCAGAAGUCUAUCCAUAUACUUAUUGUGGGUGUGUGUGGAAUAAGAUAGGAAAAAUUAUCCUGUCUCUCAACUACCCCUUGAAGCCUACCCCAUUGUUGACUGAGGAAAAAACUAUUUUAUUUCUACUGGAAAUUAACAUAAAGGAGUACCUGUCUACAGCCAACCUUCUUUAUCUCUUUUCUGAAUAAUGAAUCCAUUUGAGAAUCUGUUGAAAUUAUGAGUCCUCUCUUCAUACUUGGAAUACCACAUGACAUACAAGGCUCCUCUAGGCUAUGACAAGAAGUCUUGGGAGUACUCUUGCACGGAAGACCUGAGAUGCUGUUCUCAUCACAUUACAUCAGCAACACAUGCUAUCAACAAGACUUGUCAUUAAUCAACCAUUUCUGCAAGGAACCUGACUCCUUUUAUUGGAAAUAAAAUCUUGGCAAUAGAAACCAUGAUUUGGACAGCAAGUGUGUUCAUUACUAUUGGAGUGGCAUUACUUCUAGGCCAUCUCAGCUGACAGAGCAAGGAGAUACAUGAGAAUACUAAUCUGUAUAUGUACCCAUGUCUGUAUUUACCCAUAGGAAGUCAAACAUGAACUCAUACUGUCAUUCAAAUUCUAAUCCACAGGAUCACCUCAGCCUUCAGGAGACUACCUUUUAAUGAAUGAAAGAAAAAAAAAAGAAAAGAAAAGAAAGAAAGAAAGAAAGAAAGAAAGAUCUAGAUUUUUCUUGUAUAAAUUGAAAAUAAAAAGGAAGGAAAGGAAGAAGAUUGGUUUUCAUAAUAUAUUCCUUUAUUUCUUCAGAGGAGUUAUCCACCAUCUUUUGAUUAAUGUGAUUCAAGUAGGACUGGGUUGUUAAAAAAAAAAAAGAAAGAAAGGUAAAGACAAUGGGCAUGAAUCCAGUUUGUUAUUAUCAGAGCCAACACCUUUCUCCUUUCAUUAAUUGGUAUAAAAAAAAAGUAUGGGGAAACUUGUGAACAGCUGCAGUUCUUCUGAAAAGAGAGCAAGAACAGUCUUAAAUUAUAUUAGAAGAAAUAGGGAAACUAUUCUGAUAAAGAGUUACUGAAUGUUGGAAUGUAAGAUAAGAAGUUAGAAUUUCUUCUUCUGUUUUUUAAAAUUAGGCCAGAUUCCUAGCUGUCUAGGAGAGUAGGUGUUUUUCUGAUUUUUAAAGCUCUUUUCCUCCCUGAUUUCUGGGAUUUUCUGCACACAUAUUUAGAUCCUUAGCGCAGGGAAAUUCCUAUGUUGAAGACACAGGAAGGUGAUAAGAAAAAUAGAGGGGGGGGGAACAAGAAUAAAAAUGGGGAAAAAAGGUUUUAUCCUUUUUAAAAACUCCAUGUUUAGAAUAAAAGUGAAAACAGAAAAUGGAUUGUAUUUACCACCUUUUCAUAUUUCUUAAUCAGCAUCAAGUGCAAAUAUUGCAAUAUUGAUUUGCCCCUUUAAUAGCUCCUAAUGGUUAACAGAAACUGAUCAUAGGCAAUAAUAUAUAUUGCCUCCUAACAAACAGAUAAAUGCUUAGAUAUUUACAGUGUAAUACUGUUCCUUUGGUUAUUUUUUGUUUUUGUUUUUUUUAAAGAGGAUUUAUUUUAUUUUAUUUUUAACUACAGUAUUCUAAAUUGCCCUCACUUCUGUGGCAUUUUGAUUAUGUACCUGGAGCUAAGUAAUGAUGUUUUACCUAAACAAGAUGACUUAAAAAAUUAUUUGGGACUUAUAAUGAUAUGCUCUACAAAAUACAUUUUUUUCUACAAAUGUCAUGUGUAGGCCAAUAACAAAAUUAUUUUGCAUGAUGGCAAUGGAUUGUAUUGGAAAGAUCCGGUUUUACUACUGACCUUCCACAUACCACUGAUACAAUCUUGGGCAAAUUGCUUGUCAUUUUGAGUCUCAUUUGCUCAUCUUUGAAAUGGUUAUAGAAAUAUUUAUCUUGUAUAUUUAUUUAUUUAAAUAUUUAUGGUUGGUGUAAAUAUCAAAUGGGCCUGUGGACAUAUUAUACGUAAGUGCUAAGAGUGUGUUAUAAAGUAUUCAGAUGGCAAUUAUUAUUAUCACCAUUAUUGCUAAUCAUAAUGAAUUCAUUAAGGAAGCAUUAUUGAAUAAUGGAGAAUGAUAUUGGCCAAAUUAUAUUGUUAUAUUGUGUGCAUGUAUGAAUAUAUAAUAAGAAAUCUCACCAUUAUGUACAACUAUAAUGAGCCAUAAAUCAUGGAAAAAAUUAAAAAAU